GAAGCAAGCGACAUGUUUACACAAAGGCUCUAGCAUUGCUCACCCUCAGAUUAUUUCACGUUGUCAAAGUAAGGUUCCUUCAACUCCUCUGAUUAGCUCUUAUUGUGCAUGCCAGCGGGUCGCUGGUUCUAAUCAGGUGGUCUUUGGUCAGCUCUGCGUCUGGGACUAAUCGAGCUGUGUUUUAACCCCUCCCUAUCGGCACUUCAAUGCCUGCACCACCAAACUGGCGUGUUUGUGAGUCAUUAUCAGACGGGUGAGGGCAGAAGAGCAGAAGGCAUACAGACAUCAGAGCAUCAGGAGGAACAGCAUGUGACCCAGUC